GGGUCGAUGGCGUAGUUGGUUAUCGCAUCUGUCUAAUAUGACUCCAUCAUCACGUUGUUGCACAGAAGGUCCUCAGUUUGAACCUGGGUCGACUCA